AUUGAACGCUGGCGGCAGGCUUAACACAUGCAAGUCGAGCGGGGUGAUGGUGCUUGCACUAUCACUUAGCGGCGGACGGGUGAGUAAUGCUUAGGAAUCUGCCUAUUAGUGGGGGACAACAUCUCGAAAGGGAUGCUAAUACCGCAUACGUCCUACGGGAGAAAGCAGGGGAUCACUUGUGACCUUGCGCUAAUAGAUGAGCCUAAGUGGGAUUAGCUAGUUGGUGGGGUAAAGGCCUACCAAGGCGACGAUCUGUAGCGGGUCUGAGAGGAUGAUCCGCCACACUGGGACUGAGACACGGCCCAGACUCCUACGGGAGGCAGCAGUGGGGAAUAUUGGACAAUGGGGGGAACCCUGAUCCAGCCAUGCCGCGUGUGUGAAGAAGGCCUUAUGGUUGUAAAGCACUUUAAGCGAGGAGGAGGCUCUUUUGGUUAAUACCCAAGGUGAGUGGACGUUACUCGCAGAAUAAGCACCGGCUUACUCUGUGCCAGCCGCCGCCGUAA
rnacentral:rRNA from 1 species